rnacentral:rRNA from 1 species
GAUGAACGCUGGCGGCGUGCUUAACACAUGCAAGUCGAACGGAAAGGCCCUGCUUGCAGGGUACUCGAGUGGCGAACGGGUGAGUAUCACGUGGGUGAUCUGCCCUGUACUUUGGGAUAAGCCUGUUAAACUGGGUCUAAUACCUACUAUGACAAUUGUUUAACUGCGAUGGUGGAAAGCUUUUGCGGGUUGGGAUGAGCUCGCGGCCUAUCAGCUUGUUGGUGGGGUAAUGGCCUACCAAGACGUCGACGGGUAGCCGGCCUGAGAGGGUGUACGGCCACAUUGGGACUGAGAUACGGGCCAGAGUCGUACGGGAGGCAGCAGUGGGGAAUAUUGCACAAUGGGAGCAAGCCUGAUGCAGCGACGCCGCGUGGGGGAUGACGGCCUUUGGGUUGUAAACUCCUUUCGCAACCGAAGAAGCCUUUUGGUGACGGUAGGUUGAGAAGAAGCACCGGCUAACUACGUG